CACGUAGUUAGCCGGGGCUUCUUAGUCAGGUACCGUCAUUUUCUUCCCUGCUGAUAGCGCUUUACAUACCGAAAUACUUCUUCACUCACGCGGCGUCGCUGCAUCAGGGUUUCCCCCAUUGUGCAAUAUUCCCCACUGCUGCCUCCCGUAGGAGUUUGGGCCGUGUCUCAGUCCCAAUGUGGCCGUCCGCCCUCUCAGGCCGGCUACCGAUCGUCGCUUUGGUGGGCCGUUACCCCGCCAACUGGCUAAUCAGACGCGGAUCCAUCGUAUGCCGAUAAAUCUUUUCACACCGUACCAUGCGGUACUGUGCGCUUAUGCGGUAUUAGCAGCUGUUUCCAACUGUUAUCCCCCUGCAUACGGCAGGUUAUCCACGCGUUACUCACCCGUCCGCCACUAACUCGGAAAUCACUAGGUUUCAAUCCGAGCCCGUUCGACUUGCAUGUGUUAGGCACGCCGCCAGCGUUCAUCCUGAGCCAGGAUCAAAACUCU
rnacentral:rRNA from 1 species